CGAGUUUCCCUUCGCCUAUCGAAUGACCAAAGUCACCGACAUUAGAACGAGACAAGCACCGAUCAAUAUACUAACUGGAUAUCUGAUAUCCUACAAAAUGGCGGGACGUUUUGAAGCAACGAAAGCCCCCCGUUCAUGGGCACAUAAAUUAAUACUUCUGUACACGCUCGUUACCUAUUUAAUAUCUCUGCCCUUAGGUACUUGGCACUAGGGUGCCUUGAAUUCGUCAAAAUGCUCCCCAGGGCGAGGAUAAAAUCAGAAACGACGUUAAUCCCCAGGACGAGUAAUUACCCCGCGCCAGGAUACCACGGAGGGAUCGGCACGACCUGGAAAAAAAAAAAUGAUACGCCUAACAUGCAGUCGUUGCAAUAAUCGUAAAACCCGUGCACUUCCUGGCCGUUUCCGAUAGCCGAUCUACCGGGAAUAUCGAUCUCCAGCUUCAGGGGUAAAGGAUGAUAAUGUUGAGUCCUCGUCCACGAGGAGGGAAAACUCGCCGAGGACUCAUCCAGAGGAGGACCAGCAAUGGACCGACGUAAAGAGGCCCUGAAUAAUUGCCCUGUAUAAGUAGAGUACACGGGAUACCGCCUGGUCCGGUACAGCAGCCAGCGGACCAAAUAAUUAUCCCUGACAUGCAACCAAGGUGGUACUUGUUGCGCUAAUCGCCCGUACGUCAUCUGAAAAGAAGCAUCUCGCGUCUGGCCAAUUAAAAAACUAAACCAAAGUA